GGGGCACUAGUAAAAUAAAAAUUACACUGCCUUGUCAAGGCAGAAUUGUGGGUGGAAACCCCGCGUACCCCU
rnacentral:tRNA from 1 species